rnacentral:rRNA from 1 species
CCAAUGCAAGUCGAGUGGGUUUAGACCCACGGCAAACGGCUGAGGAACACAUGGAUACCUGCCCCGAACUCAGGGAUAGCCCGCCGAAAGGCGGAGUAAUACCGGAUGGUCCCGCAAGGGUAAAGAUUUAUCGGUUCGGGAGGGGUCUGUGUCCUAUCAGGUAGUUGGUAAGGUAAUGGCUUACCAAGCCUAUGACGGGUAACUGGUCUGAGAGGACGGCCAGUCAGAAUGGAACUGAGACACGGUCCAU